GACGAACGCUGGCGGCGUGCUUAACACAUGCAAGUCGAACGGAAAGGCCCUGCUUUUGUGGGGUGCUCGAGUGGCGAACGGGUGAGUAACACGUGAGUAACCUGCCCUUGACUUUGGGAUAACUUCAGGAAACUGGGGCUAAUACCGGAUAGGAGCUCCUGCUGCAUGGUGGGGGUUGGAAAGUUUCGGCGGUUGGGGAUGGACUCGCGGCUUAUCAGCUUGUUGGUGGGGUAGUGGCUUACCAAGGCUUUGACGGGUAGCCGGCCUGAGAGGGUGACCGGCCACAUUGGGACUGAGAUACGGCCCAGACUCCUACGGGAGGCAGCAGUGGGGAAUAUUGCACAAUGGGCGGAAGCCGGAUGCAGCAACGCCGGGUGCGGGAUGACGGCCUUCGGGUUGUAAACCGCUUUCGCCUGUGACGAAGCGGGAGUGACGGUAAUGGGUAAAGAAGCACCGGCUAACUACGUG
rnacentral:rRNA from 1 species